rnacentral:tRNA from 1 species
GGGGCCGUAGUUCAUUGGAGAGAACGGCGGACUACUAAUCCGCCUGCAAGGGGUUCAAAUCCCCUCGGCCCCA